rnacentral:rRNA from 1 species
CAGUAGCCGCGGGAACACGGAGGGUGCAAGCGUUAAUCGGAAUUACUGGGCGUAAAGCGUGCGUAGGUGGUGGUUUAAGUCCGUUGUGAAAGCCCUGGGCUCAACCUGGGAAUUGCAGUGGAUACUGGGUCACUAGAGUGUGGUAGAGGAUAGUGGAAUUUCCGGUGUAGCAGUGAAAUGCGUAGAGAUCGGAAGGAACAUCUGUGGCGAAGGCGACUAUCUGGGCCAACACUGACACUGAGGCACGAAAGCGUGGGGAGCAAACAGGAUUAGAUACCCCGGUAGUCCCUGUCUCUUAUAC